GAUCCUGCUCAGGACGAACGCUAGCGGCGUGCUUAACACAUGCAAGUCGAACGAGAAUCUGUGGAACGAGGAUUCGUCCAAGUGAAGCAGAGGACAGUGGCGGACGGGUGAGUAACGCGUGAGGAACCUGCCUUUCAGAGGGGGACAACAGUUGGAAACGACUGCUAAUACCGCAUGACACAUAGAUGUCGCAUGGCAUUUAUGUCAAAGAUUUAUCGCUGAAAGA
rnacentral:rRNA from 1 species